AAGUCCCAGUUCGGAUUNAAGGCUGAAAUUCGCCUUCAUGAAGCCGGAAUUGCUAGUAAUGGCAGGUCAGCAUACUGCCGUGAGUACGUUCCCGGGCCUUGUACACACCGCCCGUCACACCAUGAGAGUUGGGAAUACCCGAAGCCUGUGAGCUAACUUUUAGAGGCAGCAGUCGAAGGUAGAAUCAAUGAUUGGGGUGAAGUCGUAACAAGGUAUC
rnacentral:rRNA from 1 species